GAUGAACGCUGGCGGCGUGCUUAACACAUGCAAGUCGAACGGAAAGGCCCUGAUUUUGUGGGGUGCUCGAGUGGCGAACGGGUGAGUAACACGUGAGUAACCUGCCCUUGACUUUGGGAUAACUCUAGGAAACUGGGGCUAAUACCGGAUAGGAGCUCCUGCUGCAUGGUGGGGGUUGGAGAGUUUCGGCGGUUGUGGCUGGAUUCGCGGCUUAUCAGCUUGUUGGUGGGGUAGUGGCGUACCAAGUUUAUGACGGGUAGGCGGCCUUAGAGGGGUACCGGCCACAUUGGUGCUGAGAGACGCCGCAGACUCGUACGGGCGGCAGCAGUGGGGAAUAUUGCACAACGGGCGGAAGCCAGAGGCAGCAAUGCCGCGUUCGGGAUACCGGCCUUCGGGUUGUAAACCUCUUUCGCCUGUGACGAAGCGUGAGUGACGGUAAUUGGUAAAGAAGCACCGGCUAACUACGUG
rnacentral:rRNA from 1 species